GGCUCCUUGUGUUUUAGGCGGAUAAGGAGUCGGACCUGCCCGGUGACCUACGGGUUAAACGGCCGCGGUACACUGACCGUGCAAAGGUAGCACAAUCACUUGCCUUUUAAUUGGAGGCUGGUAUGAAUGGUUUGACGAGGGCUGAGCUGUCUCUUUUGGAAUAUUUAAAAAUUAACUUCUAGGUGAAAAGGCCUAGAUUGAGCUGAGGGACGAGAAGACCCUGUUGAGCUUUAGUGUUGAAUAAAGGUUUAUAUUUCCUAGUUGAAUUUAGAGGUUUAAGUUUAUUCUUACAUCUUUAGUUGGGGUGACUGGGGAACAAAAGUAGCUUCUCUACUUAUUACUGGGUUUGGCUUGCUAGCUAAUGAUCCGGCAUUGCUGAUUAUUGGAAAAAGUUACCACAGGGAUAACAGCGUAAUCUUUUUGGAGAGUUCAUAUUGAAAAAAGGGUUUGCGACCUCGAUGUUGGAUUAAGGUGUCCUAAGGGUGUAGCAGCUCUUGUUGGUUGGUCUGUUCGACCAUUAAAACCUUACA
rnacentral:rRNA from 1 species